rnacentral:tRNA from 1 species
GCACUGGUGGUUAAGUGGUAGAAUUUUUGCCUCCCAUGAGGGAGACCCGGGUUUGAUUCCUGGCCAGUACA